UUUUUUUUUUUUUUUUUGUCUUUCUGCCUUUUUCUAGGGCCGCUCCCUCGGCAUAUGGAGAUUCCCAGGCUAGGGGUCUAAUUGGAGUUGUAGCCCCCGGCCUACACCAGGGCCACAGCAAUGCGGGAUCUAAGCUGCAUCUGCAACCUAUACCAUAGCUCACGGCAACGCCAGAUCAUUAACCCACUGAGCGAGGGCAGGGAUCGAACCCGAAACCUCAUAGUUUCUAGUCGGAUUCGUUAAACACUGCGCCACAAUGGGAACUCCCAGAAAAGCUUUUAAUUAAAAACCAAACUCCUCCCUUCACGGCUCAGUGGUGGAAAAAAUCCAACUAGGAUCCAUGUGGAUGCGCGUUCGAUCCCUGGCAUCACUCAGUGGGUUAAGGAUCCGGCGUUGCCCUGAGCUAUGGUUUAGGUCACAGACAUAGCUCAGAUCCUGCAUUGCUGUGGCUGUGGUGUAGGCUGGCGCCUGCAGCUCCAAUUUGACCCCUGGCCUGGGAACCUCUAUGUGCCACGAGUGUGGCCCUAAAAGGAAAAAGGAAAAGAAACAAAGCAAAACAAAACGAAACGAAACAAAAACAAACUCCUAUGGGCCUUAUAAAACAUCCCCAGGUCAAACAAAGAAUAAACUCCCAGGUCACCUGGCUUUACCUGUUCCCCUGAAGGGCCUCACUCUUUUAAGAUCUGUAGCAUUUGAGAAAGUGUGUUUCCUACACUCUUUUGCUCAGGGGAGGCUAUUGGGAUGUCUCUUUCAGUAGUUUCCUUUGGUUAAAACAUGGGUUUUGAAAACAAGUAGACAAGGAUUCAAAUUCCGGUGUGUCUUCUGCUGGCUGUCAGUUAUUUGAGCUCAUUAAAUUAGCCAUUGUGGCACAAAUGAACCUUUCCACAGAAAAGAAACACAUGGACUAGGAGAACAGAUGUGUGGUUGCCGAGGGGGAGGGGGAGGAGGAGGGAGUGGGAUGGACUGGGAAUUUGGGGUUAAUAGAUUCAAACUCUUGCCUUUGGGGUGGCUAAGCAAUGAGAUCCUGCUGUAUAGCACAGGGAACUCUAUCUAGUCACUUGUGAUGGAACAUGAGGGAAGAUAAUGUGAGAAAAAGAAUGUAUAUAUAUGUGUGUGUGUGUGUGUGUGUUUGUUGUGAGAGAGAGAGACUGGGUCACUUUGCUAUACAGUGGAAAAUGGACAGAACUCUUUAAAGCAAGUAUAAUGGAAAAAAUAAAAAUCAUUAAAAUAAAAAAAUGUUAAAAAUUAGAAAAAAAAAGUUAGCUAUCGUGCUUUAGUCUUAGUGUUGUUAUAAAGAUAAAUGAAUAUAUGACUGACUGCAUUUGAUAGGUAGCAGGUAUUCAGUAAACAGAGACUCUAUAUUUUAAUUUCUUAUACUUGCAUGUGUCUGUAGCAGCUACUUCUUUCUCCACCUUCCACUGCUCGUCCUUAAUGCUCACCAGGGUCCAUCUCCUCUCUGAGGACACUGGGCAUUGGGACAGAGGUUCUGAUUGGGACAAUGAGAAAUGGUUAACUGAAAAGAAUUCCCUUUGGACAUAGUUUAUCCAUAAACAUCUCCUUCCUCAUCCCAUAAUUAUCUCAUCAUCAUGGGAGUCUAGCCAUUGGAUUUAUUUCUUCAAAUUUAAACCGAGUGUUUCAGCAAAGGAGGGACUAAACCAUGAGAGGUGGCUUCCCUGUGGCCUCUUAGUUGCAGGUGGAGGAGAGAGAUGCCUAGCUGUGCCUGGCUUGGCCAUCAGAGUCUUGGCAGAAGUCACCUUGCUGCUAUGUGCUGUGGGAUGGGGUGCCCUGCGAGCUGAGACCCUUUCUGAGAUGGUUUCUGGAUGUGGUGCCAUCUUUGGGAACAGGGCAAGGGUCUUUGCUGAUUUGUAUGUGGGCAGCAUUUGGCCUCACUGGGCCCUCUGCCUAGAGGGUAUUUCAAAAAUAACACUUGGGAUGCAGCCCCCUGAAAACUGGGUCAUACCAUAACUGCCGCAAUAAAAUAGUGGACACGCAUUUAGCAAAUUGUGACCUCUGUCACACCACUCAUUUCCAUAGGCAGAGCACCUCUGGAAUUCUGCAUCUAGUAAUAUAUUCAGAGAGAGUGGUUACUGGGGGCCUUAUUUUCUCUUCCCGCUGAGAGGUAACUAGGUCACAGUGAAAACAGCACCAAAACUGUUGGAGGAUCCAGCUUGCCCUGUGGCUGGGUGGAAUUGGGCAGAGGAGAUCAAGAAAUGGGAAACUAAGGAAAAAAAGGUGUUACAUGAAUACCCACAGAAGAUGAGUCCCAUUAAUGGGAGUUGGAGAAAAGAAACACAAACCAGUACACUGUAGACUCAAUAGAGAUUCAAGCGCCUGCCCACACAGGAUGGAAAGAUGCUCAGAAGCAACCCAGAACCGAAUACAAGCUGUCAAGAGAAUUCUAGUGCCAGAGUUCCCAUCGUAGCACAGCAGAAAUGAAUCUGACUAGGAACCAUAAGGUUGCAGGUUCCAUCCCUGGCCUCAUCCAGUGGGUUAAGGAUCUGGCGUUGCUGUGAGCUAGGGUGUAGGUUGCAGACCAAGCUCAGAUCUGGUGUUGCUGUGGCUGUGGUGUAGGCCAGCAGCUAUUGCUCUGAUUUAACCCCUAGCUUGGGAACCUCCAUAUGCUGAGAGUGGGGCCGUAAAAAAAAAAAAAUAAAAGAAUUCUAGUGCCUAAAAAGUAAUUAUUAAAAUAAAGCCUAUAAUCCGGAGUAAAAAUAUAGACACAAUGGGAUAUUUUCUGGCCAUAACAGUUCUCUGGAACCUUUAUGAGAACCCUCAUCAAACUUUUAUGGCAUCUGCUAGUAUCCUGGAGAGCUCGAUGGAAAUGAUCAAAGGGUCAGAUCAUAGGGCCUACGAGGACUGUCACGAGGAAAUGGGAUUGUGUAGCAGGAGAACGAAAUUUAAGGGAUGACUUAAUACAAGCACACAAUGAAAGGCUACUCCGUGUGGAUGACAAACAGCUGCUCUUCAUUAGGCUUUGGGGACCAAAGAAAGUGACACCUGAUUUACCUGCAGCAGGAAAAGCUUAGACCGUAUGGGAAGAAAGGCCAGCCAACCCAUUUACACUUCUCCCAAAUUCGGAGAACGUUGGGCCUCCCGGGCUGUGUUCCUUCUCCAAGAAGAGACACAGUUUGCUUCUCUCCCAUCAGAGAGACUCACUCCUUCUUUUCAGAGGUUGCCCCUGUCUCUGCUGAGUGAAAUGAUGAGACCCUCCAUUGCUCAUCAGAGGUUACCCCCUUGUCUCAAAGGUUACAGCAUGUUACAAAACCCACGGACCCCACAAUUUUUUGCCCCUCUCCUAUUUCCACUUUGCUCCUUACUUACUAUCGAUUUUGGGCCUAAAAUCACUCCUUUGGUGAACAGCCUCAAUUCCCCUAUUCUCUUUCCCUGUUGGACUUCUGUGGCCAAACCCAAGGCUGGUCGAAAACCACCUACCCACUUAUUCUGAUCCUGGAAAUUCAGAUCUUAUUGAACCAACCAACCAAAAAACCAGUGUUAUUUGAUGUCUUUAAAUCUCAGUGGGGCUCUCCCGGUGUGGACUCUGCAGCGCUAACCCAGGCGCCAUGCCCUCUCUGUGCUACCCUCGCUGCCCCUUGGACUGGAAAGAGAGGGACCCCACAGUGGGAAUCACACCAGGAUAAUCACACCAGGUCCUGAUAAUAUUUAUGACCUUGAGGAGGUCAUUUGAUUUUUGCUUUACUUCAUCAACUUCCAGGCUUUUUCCCAAGAACACGGUUUUUACUUGCUGGACAGAUUGGGUUGUGAGGCGACUUGGCGACAAGGGAAAGGUAAUAAUAAACUACAUUUUCACUUGCAAAAACCUUACUUAAGCGACUUCAAUAAAACCCUGUAAACCACAUAAAUGCAUUCCUUGGCUUUCCCUUGGCCUCGUCAGAGAUUUAACCGAUUUCAGUUGUACUUUUUCAGUUGUGUCCUGCUGCUUAGAAUAAUGACUUAUUUUAGCAAAUGAUGUUAAACUCUCAUUUGAAGGAUGACUUUGGAGACUAUAUGUGCCUGAUACAUAGAUCAGCAUGAUCAUGGCUGCUCAUGGAUCUGCUAAUAGUUACUUUGGGGCAGCCCCUGAGUGUCUAGGUUUGUUUCCUUAAGGUCCCAAACCUCACUUCAUCCUUAUUUCAUUAACUCACUGUUGUUUACCCUAGCAAAACUGUGUGAAUUUGGCCAGAUCUGGUGAAAGGAUAAUAGAAAAUCAUAAUCUCAAAACUGAAUUCUUAAAGAUGGUCGGAAUCGUGACUCCAUGCUCUUGCUCUAAGAGCCUUGAUUCUGAGGAAUUGUGAAAGGGUUGGAUCAUUUUUCAAGGAAUACCAUUUGGGGCCAUUCUCUACCCCUGCAGAGCCCAUGGAAGUCUGUCUUUUAGGCCAUCACCUAAAGAUACAAGGCAUACAAGGGGGAGGGUGAGGGUGUGGGAGGGACUGGGAGUUUGGGGUUAGUGGAUGCAAACUAUUACAUUUAGAAAGGAUAAGCAGGGAGUUCCCAUCGUGGCGCAGUGGUUAACGAAUCCGACUAGGAACCAUGAUGUUGUGGGUUCGACCCUGGGCUUGCGCAGUGGGUUGACGAUCCGGCAUUGCCGUGAACUUUGGUGAAGGUCAUAGACGCGGCUCGGAUCUUGUGUUGCUAUGGCUCUGGCGUAGGCCGGUGGCUACAGCUCUGAUUCGACCCCUAGCCUGGGAACCUCCAUAUGCUGUGGGAGUGGCCCAAGAAAUGGCAAAAAGACCAAAAAAAAAAAGAGAAAGGAUAAGCAAUGAGUUUCUGCUGUACAACAUAGGGAAUGAUAUUCAAUCUCUUGGGAUAGACCAUGAUGGAAGAUACUUAAGAAGAGGAAUAUAUAUAUAUAUAUAUACACACAGAAAUGACUGGCUCACUUUGCUGUACAGCAAAAAUUGGCACAACAUUGUAGAUCAACUAAAAAAAAAAAAAGAAAAA
rnacentral:lncRNA from 1 species